AUGUGCAGAAGAAGACGCAAAGAAAUUGAGGACGCGUAUGCAGAACUGGUUCAGCUGUUGGAUGAUAAAAGCCUUUCCCUUGUGAUGAGAGAUGCAGCGGAUGAUGGAAGAAAGGCGCUGAAGAUUCUGAGAGAACACUAUGCUGGUAAAGGGAAACCACGAGUGAUCAGCUUAUACACAGAGCUUACGUCUCUCCAGAAAGCUGUCAAUGAGAGCGUCACAGAUUAUUUCAUUCGCGCAGAGACCGCUAUUACAGCUUUGAGAAAUGUGGAAGAGACUUUAAGUGAUGGCUUGUUGAUCGCAAUGAUUCUGAAGGGCCUACCGGACUCUUUUAAGCCAUUUUCCAUUCACAUAACCCAAAGUGAUGAAACAAUAACUUUCACAGAGUUUAAAACAAAGCUGAGGAGUUUUGAGAGCACAGAAAAGUUUAGUGCUGCUUGCUCAGAGGAUGACAGCGUGAUGAAGGUGAAAGCAAGAGACGGGUGGAACAUGAAACUGACCUGUUUUAACUGCGGACAGAAGGGACAUAAGGCUCUGGAGUGCACUUCUGCUACGAGCGAGCAUAGAGAACAGCGACAGUGGUGUCAUCUUUGCAAGAGUUCCACGCAUAAGGAUGUGAACUGCAGACGGAGAAAGCGGGACAACGUGAAGCGGGUGGUGGAUGAGGAGGACCACACCUUUGCCUUUAAGGUGGGCCAAGUGGAUGCCGUUCCGGUCAGCGGAGUGAAGGAAAAAGGCCUCAUGGUUGAUACAGGAGCCACGUCGCAUAUUAUCCGGGACAUCACACACUUCAAGGACUUUGACAAAAGUUUUGAGCCACACAAGCACAUCCUAGAGCUGGCUGAUGGAGAGAAGACCAGCGGUAUCGCCUUGAGGAAAGGUACAGCCAAAGUUCGCCUGAGAGACAAUAAAGGUCGAGUGGUGGAAACGAUGCUGAUGGGGGCGCUGUACGUCCCAUCUUUUCCACAGGACAUCUUCUCAGUCAAGGCAGCGACGUCCCAGGGAGCGACGGUCAUUUUCAAAGAAGGUCAGAACAGACUUGUUCAUAAGAACGGUGUAACAUUUAACAUCCAGGUGUAUGAUAGACUGUUCUAUUUAAGCACUGUUACAGAUGAUGUUGAUCAAAAUGUUACAAAAGGGAUGAAAAUCAAAGGUAGAGCUGAAAUGUCUAAUCUAAAAUGUGAAGUGUACACACAGGGUAAAUUUGUUCAGAGCAGGAAUAGGGAGGCAGAUGAAAAAGCAAAAAUUCCCCUUGGACUUGUGCACACAGAUUUAGCUGGACCUAUGGAGCCAAUAGCAAAAGAUGGUUUCAGAAAUAUCUUGGCAUUUACUGAUGACUAUUCAGGUGCAAUAUUUACAUAUUUUUUGAUUAUGAGUAUGGAAUAA
rnacentral:lncRNA from 1 species